AAGCCCAUGUGGUGUGAGCACGCCAAAAUGCAAAUUUGGAGACGCACCCCAUAAGGUGCCGGGGCUUC
rnacentral:tRNA from 1 species